rnacentral:lncRNA from 1 species
GCCUGGAAAUAUGGGGAUUCUACAUCUGAAGGCUUAGCCUCUAAAAAGGGGAGUGUAGGACAGAGCUGUAGCUGUAUUUGGUCACAUGGAUAUUGACGCUACCAUUGAUGAUCUCUGAGGAAGAGGGCAGAGAAUGAGGUCUUCAUAACAUCAGCAGCAGAGGGGCCCUGGUGGCUGUGGAGAGGAUAAGCACAGAGAGACAAACAGAACCAGGUCCUAGAAAAGCCUGUGGGCUCUGGCAGUGGCUAACUUGAUAACCAAGGAAGCAAGAGGAUGGGAUUUCCGUGAGGUAAUGAGGCAGAGGAUGCUGAAGACUUUACAGGGAGCACAGUCUGCAAAUAUUGACCAGGCCCUACUAUGCGACUGGAGACUGCCUACGUGCAUUGAAAGUUCCAGAGACCCAGCAAUAACUUAGGG